AGAGUUUGAUCCUGGCUCAGGAUGAACGCUGGCGGCGUGCCUAACACAUGCAAGUCGAGCGGGUGUAUACGCAGGACACAACUUUGGUUGGAGAGAAUGUAUAUGCUAGCGGCGGACGGGUGAGUAACGCGUGGGUAAUCUACCUAAGGGCCUGGGAUAACAUGGGGAAACCGAUGCUAAUACGGGAUAAGCUCACACUGCAGCAUUGCGGAGUGAGAAAAGGGGAACCGCCCUUGGAGGAGCCCGCGUCUGAUUAGCUAGUUGGUGUGGUAAAGGCGCACCAAGGCGACGAUCAGUAGCCGACCUGAGAGGGUGAUCGGCUACAUUGGGACUGAGACACGGCCCAAACUCCUACGGGAGGCAGCAGUGGGGAAUAUUGCACAAUGGAGGGAACUCUGAUGCAGCAACGCCGCGUGCAGGAAGAAGGUUUUCGGAUCGUAAACUGCUAUCGACAGGGACGAAGGUAAUAGGCUGAGAGGCUUAGAAUUUGACGGUACCUGAGUAAGAAGCCCCGGCUAACUACGUGCCAGCAGCCGCGGUAAUACGUAGGGGGCAAGCGUUAUCCGGAAUUACUGGGUGUAAAGGGUGAGUAGGUGGUUAGAUAAGUCAUAUGUGAAAAGCCGAGGCUUAACCUUGGUCGUGCAUAAGAAACUGUCUGACUAGAGUACAGGAGAGGUAAGCGGAAUUCCCAGUGUAGCGGUGAAAUGCGUAGAUAUUGGGAAGAACACCAGUGGCGAAGGCGGCUUACUGGACUGAAACUGACACUGAGUCACGAAAGCGUGGGGAGCGAACAGGAUUAGAUACCCUGGUAGUCCACGCCGUAAACGAUGAUAGCUAGGUGUCGGUGCGCGAGCAUCGGUGCCGGAGUAAACGCAAUAAGCUAUCCACCUGGGGAGUACGGUCGCAAGACUGAAACUCAAAGGAAUUGACGGGGGCCCGCACAAGCGGUGGAGCAUGUGGUUUAAUUCGACGCAACGCGAAGAACCUUACCAAGGCUUGACAUCCCAUUGACAGUUGUAGAGAUACGACCUCCCUUCGGGGCAAUGGAGACAGGUGGUGCAUGGUUGUCGUCAGCUCGUGUCGUGAGAUGUUGGGUUAAGUCCCGCAACGAGCGCAACCCUUAUGUUUAGUAGCCAGCAGGUAGAGCUGGGCACACUAGAGAGACUGCCGUGGAGAACACGGAGGAAGGUGGGGACGACGUCAAAUCAUCAUGCCCCUUAUGUCUUGGGCUACACACGUGCUACAAUGGACGAAACAAAGUGAAGCAAGAGCGCGAGCUGGAGCAAAACACGAAAAGCGUCCUCAGUUCGGAUUGCAGUCUGCAACUCGAGUGCAUGAAGUUGGAAUCGCUAGUAAUCGCGGAUCAUGAUGCCGCGGUGAAACGUUCCCGGGCCUUGUACACACCGCCCGUCAAACCACGGGAGUUGGAAGCGCCCGAAGCCUGUGACCCAACCGGAAACGGAGGGAGCAGUGGAAGGUGAAGCCGG
rnacentral:rRNA from 1 species